UUCACUUUGAGAUUUACAAAUCUCUGAGGCCUCUCGAGGGUUAAAGCAUGGAAUAGGCAUGUUAGAAAACUUUGUUGACAAUUUGAUAUUUGUACUCCCCUUUAUUUUACACAUAAUCCUCAGACACCUGGAAGGUAAGAUGCCACCUCCUCCAGGUAGCCUCCCUCCCUCCUUCAGUCUGAGUUCGAUGCCUCCAUCUGUGUUCUGACAGUUCCUCUUGGAGGGCCUUUCCCGUGCCACUGCCUCUGAUCAUGUGUUUACUUUUCUGUCUUCUCCAAUAAGUGAUCACUCCUAGGGGACAGAGACUUUGUCUUUCUUGUUUUUGUAUUCACAACAUAUAACACAAAGUAGGUGGUCAGUAAGUGUUUACUGAAUGAAUGAGUGGAAGAGAAGAUAAUGGUAGAUCUGUUCCCGUAGACCUAAAUUCAUAAAUAAAGAGUGUACUUUUACAUGUCUUUCCCCAGAAAUCUAUAAAAGAUGUCACAGAUUGAUAAAAAGUUAGAAGACACACAAGUGCAUGGCCAGAGGCACUGCUUGAGACUGCUCUUAAUCUGCAUUGGGUUCUCAAGACCCAGAUGGGACCAUCUAGCUGCAGAAAAACAAGCUCAGAGCUCCCACUGAUUCUACAUUAUGUUUCAGGUCUCCCAGAAGAAGAUACUGAUAUCAAGAUUCAAGUUCAAAUACAAGUACCAUCAAUACCAAAAGGAAAGCAGGGAGAUGACAUAGUAAACAAAAGGUAG
rnacentral:lncRNA from 1 species